GGUGGAGAGAAGAAUGAUGGAAUCCUUUAGUGUUGCCUUACUGAUCCUGUGGCUUCAGCUCAUUUCGGUGAGCAGCCAGCAGAAGGAGGUGGAGCAGAGCCCUGAGUCCCUCCGUGUUUCAGAGGGAGCCAGCGCCUCUCUCAACUGCACUUACAGGGACAGCACUUCUAAGUACUUCUUCUGGUACCGACAGUGUCCUGGGAGAGGCCCCGAGCUGCUGGUGUCCAUGUACUCCAAUGGUGACAAAGAAGAAGGAAGAUUCACAGCGCGGCUCAGCACAUCUAGCCGCCACUUUUCCCUGGACAUCUCAGGCUCCCAGCACAGCGACUCAGCCACCUACCUCUGCGCAGUGAGCACACAGUGCUCCCCGGGGGCCUGCAGCUGCACCCAAACUACAGGGGCCCGGGCAGAGCUGAGGCAGAGCAGAGAGCACAGGGCAGCGCAGUUCUGCUCCUGCUCCUGA